UCUAAUUAUACUUCCAAAUUAAAACUAAUAUACUCUCAAAACCAGACUCAUUGGCAUUGACUGUACUGCCUCCAUCCUACAGAAAAAAUUUGGUUGGAACUAUUGUUAUCUGAGCCCAGGAGUAACUCAGACUGGUUGAAGUGGGACUCCACCACAAGGCUGUGGUCAUCAUGGUUGACAUACCCAUAAUUCCAUUGGCUUUGUGGGAUGACAGCCCUGCAGAACAGUGUCAGAAGAAAAGAGUAACAACUCUGAACAUUCUAGUUGGACUUCCAUUGGACAGAUAUAACCAUUCACUGAAUGCCUUUUCUGUCAUUCUUUAAAAAGAGAAAGUCAGAACUCUUGUCUGAUGUACUGGCAAAUGUGUGUGGGGUGGGAGGAAAGGAGGGGGAAUUCUCCCUACAGUGAAACAUCAUGGCAAGAAAGACAUAUUAUCCUUUGUUUUUAUCUCUUUAGAGUUAAUAUGAUACAUGGAACUGAAGGUGGAGAGUUUUUCAUGUGUAAAUAGCACUUCCCUUAUCAGUUCACAUUCAAAAUGUGAACUUAAUACCUGCAUCGAUAAAGAAAAUGUAUCUAAACAACUCAUCAGUGUUCUGGGGAAAAUAAUUAAGUGUCCAAAAUUUUGUACUUCAAAAUCAAUCUUGAAAAGACAGCAUACAGACCAGAUUGUCCAGAUAAUCUAUUAAAAUCUCUCCUUGUAGCCACAUAGACCCUCAAAAAUAUUUUCCAAAUAGGGUAAAGAGAAAAAUCUAAAUAUUAGUCAUAACUUCCAAAAGUCCUUCAACAAAGAUGUAGAGUGAUAUUUACAAAAAUAAUUGAACUCCAAGUUUUAAAUAUUAUCUUUAUUCAGAUGUUCUCAACAUAUCUCGUUAUGAAACUUCGUGACAGAGCUGAAUCUUCUUAACCUCCAUUGAAGUUAAUGGGAGUCGCUGACACUCAGCACCUCAAUGUAUCAGACCACUAGGCUAAAUUUUAUUCCCUAAUCUAGAUGAGUGUUCUCUUGCUGUAUAUCAGUGAACAAUAAGUAACAGAAAGCAGGUCAAAAUUCAAAAAAAAUCAUAUCUUUGGGCAAACUCCUGCUCCAAUUCAAAUAACUAAAGCCCCAGAACAAGACCUUUGCAGGUUAUUUUUUCCACCUGAUCAGAUUUCACUUCUUUGGGGAGGUCAAUAACCAGUUCUCCAUAGACCUAACAUGCCUUUCAGAACAAUGGACAAUGGAGAGUAUUGUAAUGGUUGCAUCACUAAGUGUUCGGCAAAUGCUUUUCCAGAAACAUCACUAUAACAAUGUUCUCUAAUUCCAGUACUGAUUUCUGCCGAGUAACUAUCCACCAUAGCAGCUGAAGAGCAAUAGUAUGCACUUCUCCAGCUUCUAGUUGAAUCUCCUUUUGCUGACACAGAGAGCAAUAUCUAUUCACUUGACAAUGACUAAUAACUUUCCAGUAUUAUAACUAUAGUGUAUUAUACGUUUAACUUUAACUUUAUAAUGUCCAGUGAUUGGCCUCUGAUAUAGACAAAUCUGAAAAAGAUGUGGUUGUGGUGCUACUAGACUACUGGCUUACUCUUGUGUAACUCAUGCUUAACUGAAAACAUCUACACCUCCACUUCUACAAGUAAAACUUUUUUAUACUAUUUUUUUUCUCAUUCUUGUAAAUAUUUUGGAAUAUGCUAAAAUAAUGUUUAG